CCUACGGGCGGCAGCAGUAGGGAAUAUUGGUCAAUGGCCGAGAGGCUGAACCAGCCAAGUCGCGUGAGGGAAGACGGCCCUACGGGUUGUAAACCUCUUUUGUCGGGGAGCAAAGCGAACCACGUGUGGUACAUUGAGAGUACCCGAAGAAAAAGCAUCGGCUAACUCCGUGCCAGCAGCCGCGGUAAUACGGAGGAUGCGAGCGUUAUCCGGAUUUAUGGGGUUUAAAGGGUGCGCAGGCGGAGGUGCAAGUCAGCGGUCAAAUUGCGGGGCUCAACCCCGUACUGCCGUUGAAACUGCAUCCCUUGAGUGCGGGAGAAGUAUGCGGAAUGCGUGGUGUAGCGGUGAAAUGCAUAGAUAUCACGCAGAACUCCGAUUGCGAAGGCAGCAUACCGGCGCGCAACUGACGCUCAUGCACGAAAGCGUGGGUAGCGAACAGGAUUAGAUACCCUAGUAGUC
rnacentral:rRNA from 1 species